AUACGGAGGGUGCGAGUGUUAAUCGGAAUUACUGGGCGUAAAGCGUGCGUAGGCGGUUUGUUAAGUCAGAUGUGAAAGCCCUGGGCUCAACCUGGGAACUGCAUUUGAAACUGGCGGGCUAGAAUAUAGUAGAGGGAAGUGGAAUUCCGGGUGUAGCGGUGAAAUGCGUAGAUAUCCGGAGGAACACCAGUGGCGAAGGCGGCUUCCUGGACCAAUAUUGACGCUGAGGUACGAAAGCGUGGGUAGCAAACAGGAUUAGAAACCCCAGUAGUCC
rnacentral:rRNA from 1 species